rnacentral:lncRNA from 10 species
GAAGUAUAUUUUUUAAAAAUCUUCAAUAGACAAAUAAAUCUCUUUCAUAAAUAUCUUCUUUUGGGUGUCUACCACCCCAUGUCUGGGUUUAAAGCCUUCAUCACCUGCCAGCCAUCUGCUGUAACUCCAGUUGUCCCUCCAACCUCCCACCACUAGCCAUCAAUCCUCAUAUUGUUUCAUAAAUAGGACAAUCUGGCUUCUUUCUCAGAUUUAUUACAUUCUUCCCAUAAAUUACCAACUUUGCACCAAAAACCUUCCUCAAAAAACCACAAUUCUUGUUAAAUGGCAGGAAGUUGUAAAUAACAGUUAUCUCUUCAUCUCAAAAAUACUUAAAAACCAAAGUUGUUUGUUACAAGGGUUAGUUUCAGCGAAGAAAAUUAACCCUAUAGAGAAUGGCAGGGAAUAACAAAAUGCCAAAGAAGACAACUAAGCAUGUAAGCAAGUUGGCUUUGCCAAAAGCAGAUGAGUUCUGAAGUAGAUGAUGAGACUUAACAAUAUAGAGCAAGACAGUUUAUUACUCACAGUACAGCAGACAGCAGGAGCAUAAGUAUGAGAGGACUAAUUUCCCUUCCCUCAAGUCCCAUAAGUCCCACGUGCAGGUCCGUUACAUAGGUAUACAUGUGCCAUGGUGGUUUGCUGAACCCAUCAACCCGUCAUCUUCAAAGUAAGGCUCCACCCUUACAACCUCAUUUAACCUUAAUUACCUUCUUCCGGGCUCUACCUCCAAGUCACAUUGGGGGUUAGGGCUUCAACAUAUAAAUGCUGGGGAUACACAAUUCAGUCCAUAGCGAACAGCAAUGGAACACCAUUUGUGUUCCCCUCACACAUGCAGCUAUUCACUACUUCUCACUACAGCAUAUUUGAGUGCCUACU